ACGGAAGGCAGCAGUGGGGAAUAUUGCACAAUGGGGGAAACCCUGAUGCAGCGACGCCGCGUGAGUGAAGAAGUAUUUCGGUAUGUAAAGCUCUAUCAGCAGGAAAGAAAAUGACGGUACCUGACUAAGAAGCCCCGGCUAACUACGUGCCAGCAGCCGCGGUAAUACGUAGGGGGCAAGCGUUAUCCGGAUUUACUGGGUGUAAAGGGAGCGUAGACGGCUUUGCAAGUCUGAAGUGAAAGCCCGGGGCUUAACCCCGGAACUGCUUUGGAAACUGUAGAGCUAGAGUGCAGGAGAGGUAAGUGGAAUUCCUAGUGUAGCGGUGAAAUGCGUAGAUAUUAGGAGGAACACCAGUGGCGAAGGCGGCUUACUGGACUGUAACUGACGUUGAGGCUCGAAGGCGUGGGGAGCAAACAGGAUUAGAUACCCUGGUA
rnacentral:rRNA from 2 species